AAAUCAUUUUUAUAUAAAGCAGCAAAAACAUAUUUUUCUCUCAGCAGAAAGAAAACCGUGAACAGGGAAACAGCGAUGUAAACGGGCCCGUUCAUAAACCUCGGCCGAAGCCGGGGCUACUGUGCAACGUCCUCGGCGCUGUCGGAAGAAGGUUCUUUGGCGUCUCCAGUCGCUCUUUUACUUUCCUCUUGAGCUAAAGUUUCCUUCUCUGACCUGGUCCCGUUGGGGAUAGCGCUUUCGCCAUUGACGAGCCCGUGCUCGGCGGCCUGGGCCCUGCGGACGGCCUCGCUGAGGGUCAAGGCCUCCUGCGCGCCCGCCUCCCCCUCCAGGCUCCUCAGCACCAGCGGCAGCCUCGAGUCCGCCACGCCCUCCAGCAGCCCCGCGCCGCCCUCCUCGUACUUGGGCAGCGGCGCCCGCUCCUCCAUCUGCCGCCGGUAGAACUCCCGGUUCGCGGCCGCGCUCUUGACCGCUCUCUCCAGGAUCUCCUUCUCACCUAAGCGCAGCUUGAUGGCCAUGGUGGCACGGGCGGAAAGGUCGUGGUUUUUCAAGAAGGACUUAUCUUCCUGGAAAAGAAACAGCAAACUCAACCAUCUCAAGUCGCUAAACUGGUAAACUAUAGCAACAGAAGGCAGAUCCGUGAUUGCCGGGGACGAGGGCACAAGGGAAAUUGGGGGUGGGGAGGGGAGAAGGUUCCAGAACUUGAUUGUGGGGGUGGCUGCAUGACUGUAUACUUACAACCAAGCGUACACUUUAGAAGUAUGAGUUUUACUCUAUGUAAAUUAUAUCUAAAUAAAUGAUGGUCAAACCAAAAAGAGGAGCCUAAAUCACACAGUGCCUGGACGCUGGAUGAAUGAUGGGUAUUUGAAGUCAAGGGACCCAGGAGGAAACUUUGAAAACACAAAUAAAAACUUACAUUUACUUGUAUCAUAUGAAAUACAAAUUAUAAAAAAGCAUUAACUAAUUUAAAGAUUUAUCUUCUCAUCAAUAAUGCCUCUUGACUCUCUUGGUAAGGGUAAAUGUGUUAAAUAGAAAAAUAUUAGUUAAAUUUGGUUGUUGCUGUUUAGUCGCUGUCGUGUCCAGCUCUUCUGCAACCCCGCGGGCUGUAGCCCACCAGGCUCCUCUGCCCAUGGGAUUUCCCAGGCAAGAAUCC
rnacentral:lncRNA from 1 species